CUGGGCGUAAAGGGUGCGUAGGCGGUCGGGUAAGUCUGAUGUGAAAGCUCGGAGCUUAACUCCGAAAUGGCAUUGGAUACUAUUCGGCUUGAGGAAUGGAGGGGAGACUGGAAUGCUCGGUGUAGCAGUGAAAUGCGUAGAUAUCGAGCGGAACACCAGUGGCGAAGGCGAGUCUCUGGACAUUUCCUGACGCUGAGGCACGAAAGCCAGGGGAGCAAACGGGAUUAGAUACCCCGGUAGUCCUGGCCCUAAACGGUGCACGUUUGCUGUAAGAGGAAUCGACCCCUUUUGUGGCGAAACUAACGCGUUAAACGUGCCGCCUGGGAAGUACGGCC
rnacentral:rRNA from 1 species